UUGUUUUUUUUUUGUUGGAUUUUUUUCAUGCGAAGCCUGACGGAGCAAUACCGCGUGAGGGAGGAAGGCUCUUGGGUCGUAAACCUCUUUUCUCAAGGAAGAAGAAAGUGACGGUACUUGAGGAAUAAGCAUCGGCUAACUCCGUGCCAGCAGCCGCGGUAAUACGGAGGAUGCAAGCGUUAUCCGGAAUGAUUGGGCGUAAAGGGUCUGCAGGUGGAACUGAAAGUCUGCUGUUAAAGAGUUUGGCUUAACCAAAUAAAAGCGGUGGAAACUACAGAACUAGAGUGCGGUAGGGGCAAAAGGAAUUCCUGGUGUAGCGGUGAAAUGCGUAGAUAUCAGGAAGAACACCGGUGGCGAAAGCGUUUUGCUAGACCGUAACUGACACUGAGGGACGAAAGCUAGGGGAGCGAAUGGGAUUAGAUACCCCAGUAGUCCUAGCCGUAAACGAUGGAUACUAGGCGUGGCUUGUAUCGACCCGAGCCGUGCCGGAGCUAACGCGUUAAGUAUCCCGCCUGGGGAGUACGCACGCAAGUGUGAAACUCAAAGGAAUUGACGGGGGCCCGCACAAGCGGUGGAGUAUGUGGUUUAAUUCGAUGCAACGCGAAGAACCUUACCAAGACUUGACAUCCUGCGAAUCCCGGUGAAAGCUGGGAGUGCCUUAGGGAGCGCAGAGACAGGUGGUGCAUGGCUGUCGUCAGCUCGUGUCGUGAGAUGUUGGGUUAAGUCCCGCAACGAGCGCAACCCUCGUUUUUAGUUGCCAGCAUUAAGUUGGGCACUCUAGAGAGACUGCCGGUGACAAACCGGAGGAAGGUGGGGAUGACGUCAAGUCAGCAUGCCCCUUACGUCUUGGGCUACACACGUACUACAAUGCUACGGACAGAGGGCAGCGAGCCAGGGAUGGCAAGCGAAUCCAGAAACCGUAGCUCAGUUCAGAUCGAAGGCUGCAACUCGCCUUCGUGAAGGAGGAAUCGCU
rnacentral:rRNA from 1 species